rnacentral:rRNA from 1 species
AACGUAGGACGCAAGCGUUAUCCGGAGUUACUGGGCGUAAAGCGCGGGCAGGCGGCUCGAAACGUCUGAUGUGAAAUCUCCUCGCUCAACGGGGAGAGGCCAUUGGAAACGGUCGGGCUGGAGGGCAGUAGAGGCAGGCGGAAUUCCGGGUGGAGUGGUGAAAUGCGUAGAUAUUGGGAGGAACACCAGUGGCGAAGGCGGCUCACUGGACCGGUACUGACGCUGAUGCGCGAAAGCGUGGGGAGCAAACGGG